AAUUACUUGCCACUACUCAUCUCUCUUCAACUGGUACUCAUAAUGUCUUUUCAACUCAAGAGUUCAAUUCUUCAAUAUUUCGAUCAGGUGAGCUUCAUGAUCAAGAUCCUCCUCAACUGCAGGGUAAGUGUAACCCCCUACGUGUUGCUUUGAUACCAUGCCAUUUCACAAAUCAAACUCUAAAACUGUAGUUGUAGGCAUGAAUCUCAUGAACCAUCCACACGAUGUGCUAAUCGCUACGCAAACAAAAACACAAAAUCGAUAAAACGUACCUAUGGGAAGGAAAAAAACCAAAAAGAAAAAAAAAACACAAAAAAUAAAGCGACACAAUUGCCUAAAGCCUUUCCCGAUAACAGCGCCAAAAUUUGACUCAACCGAGAACACCUAAUGAAUUGACUCGUAAACGUACGAGGUCAUUCGCAAAGGAAUAAGCUAACC
rnacentral:lncRNA from 1 species